AUUUUUCUUUUUCAAUAUUGACUAAAAAAAAAAUAGCCUUGUAUUGAUUCUUAUGUCUUCACGUUUUCUGUCACAUACAUUGAAUGAAUAUCAUUUCUCACAGAUAUUGACCAGUGUAUGUAGAAGGUUAGAACAAUCAGGGUAUCUCUCGCCAGUGUCAACAUAAGUUAGCAUAGAGUAUCACAAACAGAGUAUCUCACAACAAUGGCAUUGGACUACAGUAUCAACAAACGACUCUGAGUGCUGGUAAUUCAUAAUGCUAGACAUUUACAGCUGAUUACAUCAUCUUCAGAAUUUAAUCUGGGGAUAGAAGAACUGACCAUUACCCCUUCCAUAUUUACAGUUUUCUCAAUGUCAAACACCACUGUGCUAAGUCCCUUGCCUAUGAUAAAUAUCCUCUUCCCAAUUGCUACGAGCCGACAAGGUGGUCUUGUAAGUAAUGGUGACAGCCUUCCAACUGCCACCCAAUCCCUUUUAUCCUUCUGCCACAACAUCAGCCUGGUUCCUGAACUCUGAUCCAAGACAUAAAGGACACCAUCCACAACAACUGCUGGACCCCGCCAGCCUGACACCAUAUCAGCAUCUGCGUGCUGCCAUGUACCAUUUGAAGGUUCAUAAAGAACAGCAUAUACAUGAGAAGACACAGCAGAAGCACCACAUCGAAUAUAAAUCUUCCCAUCCAAGACAGUGGAAUCUUCAACGUCAGGAACAACAUUAGUAUCAGAAUGUGAUUCCCAACUAUUCUUGUGAGGAUCAAACGUGUCCCAAGAAUGUGGAUCACUUGAUUUCGAGCCUAACCCACCAAUGGCAUAUAUUUUCCCAUCCAAAACUUCACAAGCAAAAUAGCACCUUGCAGUGGACAAGGAAGCAGCUUCCCUCCAAGAGUUCCUAGAAACAUCAUAGCAGUAGGCCUCAUCAGUAGCAUCCUCCAACCAACCACAGCCACCUAACAGGUAAAGCUUCUUACCUAGUGCUUCAAAACCCAUGCCUUUUCUCUUCAAACAGCCGGGUGGAAGCCCUUGAAUGAGCNNNNNNNNNNNGGCAAAUCAGGGUCCAGAACAUAACAACAUAUCUGCUCAUACUUGUCACGACACAAUGCAUAUAUCCAAGUCUCACUCAAAUUGUGCUUACUACGAUAAGCAUGCCACUCUUCACUGCACAGUAAGUCUCUCCAACUCCUGCAAACACACUUCAGCACUGUACGGUACUUGCGAGGCACUCUUGCCAAGCAGAAAAGAGCAAUGUCAUCUGGAAGCCCACAUAACAAUUGCGCUUGACUCUCUUCUAUUUGAUUGGUUCUCUCAGAUCCACCUUCCAUUCGCUCCAUCCAAAUCCCACAGCCAGAUUAGGUCCUAGAA
rnacentral:misc_RNA from 1 species